rnacentral:ncRNA from 1 species
GAGAAAUCAAUGAAGUGGACAAAAAGUAUUCCUAUAACUUUUUUAGAGAGCAAGGUCAGGUGAAAGCUUGUAAAGGGAAAGAAUAUAAUAGAACCACAGAGAUUCUGUAAAGAAAUUAGUAUUUACAGAGGUUAACUGCCUUAAAGUUUUGAGAUAUCUAAAAGAUAAUUAGAGUGGUACCGCGGACUUCGCCUCUUUC